GAUACCAGGGUCAAAAGGUUGGAAAUCCGAUGCAAGCCUGCUUGCAAGCGGAUUUUUAACCUUGGGACCCUCCAAAAACAUGAAUAAGUAGCCAUUUUUCAAAGAAAAAUGAGCGAAUUAUGAAUGUUUUUGAGGAUUGCGGGAGCACACCGUGCGGAGCAAUCCGGU
rnacentral:sRNA from 1 species